rnacentral:rRNA from 1 species
CCUACGGGAGGCAGCAGUGAGGAAUAUUGGUCAAUGGGCGCUAGCCUGAACCAGCCAAGUCGCGUGAAGGAUGACUGCCCUAUGGGUUGUAAACUUCUUUUAUAUGGGAAUAAAGUGCAGUAUGUAUACUGCUUUGCAUGUACCUUAUGAAUAAGGAUCGGCUAACUCCGUUCCAGAACCCGCGGUAAUACGGAGGAUCCGAGCGUUAUCCGGAUUUAUUGGGUUUAAAGGGAGCGUAGGCGGGUUGUUAAGUUAGUUGUGAAAGUUUGUGGCUCAACCGUAAAAUUGCAGUUGAUACUGGCAUCCUUGAGUACAGUAGAGGUAGGCGGAAUUCGUGGUGUAGCGGUGAAAUGCUUAGAUAUCACGAAGAACUCCGAUUGCGAAGGCAGCCUGCUGGACUGUAACUGACGCUGAUGCUCGAAAGUGUGGGUAGCAAACAGGAUUAGAUACCCGGGUAGUC